AUGAAGGAAGUCUUUUCAAAACAAGAUGGAUCGCAAGUUCCUCUAAGACAUGGCAUGCAGGGUUCAUGUUUAGAUAGCAGUGCACACACUUGCUAUGCUGGGAGGGGUGUCACAAAGUAACUAGGUCAAAAUAAAGAUUAUAAACCACAAAAAGCGUGAUACCUGUGCUCUUGCCUUCAGCUCUACAUUUAACUCAGGACAAAUGCAUUCCAGCUCAGAGCAAGGUCCCUAGUGAUACCAGAGUGAUGAGGUUUAUUGAGGCUAUUUUUAAUACACUAACUGGCCUUUACUGACAGGCUACUGGGCUUGCUGUGUG
rnacentral:lncRNA from 1 species